rnacentral:rRNA from 1 species
GCGGUAACAGAUCCAGCUUGCUGGAUGCUGACGAGCGGCGGACGGGUGAGUAAUGCAUAGGAAUCUGCCCGGUAGUGGGGGAUAACCUGGGGAAACCCAGGCUAAUACCGCAUACGUCCUACGGGAGAAAGGGGGCUUCGGCUCCCGCUAUCGGAUGAGCCUAUGUCGGAUUAGCUAGUUGGUGAGGUAACGGCUCACCAAGGCCACGAUCCGUAGCUGGUCUGAGAGGAUGAUCAGCCACAUCGGGACUGAGACACGGCCCGAACUCCUACGGGAGGCAGCAGUGGGGAAUAUUGGACAAUGGGGGGAACCCUGAUCCAGCCAUGCCGCGUGUGUGAAGAAGGCCCUCGGGUUGUAAAGCACUUUCAGCGAGGAAGAACGCCUAGCGGUUAAUACCCGCUAGGAAAGACAUCACUCGCAGAAGAAGCACCGGCUAACUCCGUGCCAGCAGCCGCGGUAAUACGGAGGGUGCAAGCGUUAAUCGGAAUUACUGGGCGUAAAGCGCGCGUAGGUGGCUUGAUAAGCCGGUUGUGAAAGCCCCGGGCUCAACCUGGGAACGGCAUCCGGAACUGUCAAGCUAGAGUGCAGGAGAGGAAGGUAGAAUUCCCGGUGUAGCGGUGAAAUGCGUAGAGAUCGGGAGGAAUACCAGUGGCGAA